rnacentral:rRNA from 1 species
AUAUCAAUAAGCGGAGGAAAAGAAACCAACAGGGAUUGCCCUAGUAACGGCGAGUGAAGCGGCAACAGCUCAAAUUUGAAAUCUGGCGUCUUUGGCGUCCGAGUUGUAAUUUGCAGAGGGCGCUUUGGCAUUGGCAGCGGUCCAAGUUCCUUGGAACAGGACGUCACAGAGGGUGAGAAUCCCGUACGUGGUCGCUAGCCUUUACCGUGUAAAGCCCCUUCGACGAGUCGAGUUGUUUGGGAAUGCAGCUCUAAAUGGGAGGUAAAUUUCUUCUAAAGCUAAAUACUGGCCAGAGACCGAUAGCGCACAAGUAGAGUGAUCGAAAGAUGAAAAGCACUUUGGAAAGAGAGUUAAAAAGCACGUGAAAUUGUUGAAAGGGAAGCGCUUGCAGCCAGACUUGCCUGUAGUUGCUCAUCCGGGUUUUUACCCGGUGCACUCUUCUACGGGCAGGCCAGCAUCAGUUUGGGCGGUUGGAUAAAGGUCUCUGUCAUGUACCUCCUCUCGGGGAGAUCUUAUAGGGGAGACGACAUGCAACCAGCCUGGACUGAGGUCCGCGCAUCUGCUAGGAUGCUGGCGUAAUGGCUGUAAGCGGCCCGUCUUGAAACACGGACCAAGGAGUCUAACAUCUAUGCGAGUGUUUGGGUGUCAAGCCCGAACGCGUAAUGAAAGUGAACGGAGGUGGGAACCUUUCGGGGUGCACCAUCGACCGAUCCUGAUGUCUUCGGAUGGAUUUGAGUAAGAGCAUAGCUGUUGGGACCCGAAAGAUGGUGAACUAUGCUUGAAUAGGGUGAAGCCAGAGGAAACUCUGGUGGAGGCUCGCAGCGGUUCUGACGUGCAAAUCGAUCGUCAAAUUUGGGCAUAGGGGCGAAAGACUAAUCGAACUAUCUAGUAGCUGGUUCCUGCCG